CUUCGGCCACAUGAUUCCCGUAGAUGAUCCUCGCGAUGAGAUUUAUGUAAUCCUGACAGCGACGGUCAAACCUGCCUGAUUGAUUAUUCUAAUCAUUACGUGACACACUCCUGAAUAGGGUUGAGUCCAUAUUAUACGUGUUCAAUUCUUGGAAAGAAAUUCAACUGCAUUCAUAAGUUAUGGAAAGAUUAUAUAUAAUAUUAUACAAAAGAUAUUAUAUAUAAAAUAUGUUUUUAUAUAAUAUCUUUGCAUUAAAUAAGGAGUGAAAAAAAUCAAAGUAAAAAAUGGACUAAAUUAUGCCUUCAUGUACCUUUCAUAUAAUACACAAGUGUUUUUUAUAACUGAACUGGUAUAAUAAAUUAAGUAUAUUUCUUCUCAUUUUAACUUAUUGCACCAGUUUGGCAAUGCAAGUAUAAAGAAUAGACCAAAGAUUUCAAUCAACUGCACUGCUUGAAUCAGCUGAUUACUGCAGUUACGAACGACUGAAAGCAAGUAUCAUAUGUACUAUAUGUAAAUUAUCGUAAAACGUAAAAAAAAAA